GACGAACGCUGGCGGCGUGCCUAAUACAUGCAAGUCGAACGAACCGCGACUAAGUGCUUGCACUAAGUCAAGGUGAGUGGCGAACGGGUGAGUAACACGUGGGUAACCUACCUCAUAGUGGGGGAUAACAGUCGGAAACGACUGCUAAUACCGCAUAGGACAUAGGAUCACAUGAUCCAGUGAGGAAAGGUGGCGCAAGCUAUCGCUAAGAGAUGGACCCGCGGUGCAUUAGCUAGUUGGUAGGGUAAAGGCCUACCAAGGCGACGAUGCAUAGCCGACCUGAGAGGGUGAUCGGCCACAUUGGGACUGAGACACGGCCCAAACUCCUACGGGAGGCAGCAGUAGGGAAUCUUCCGCAAUGGACGCAAGUCUGACGGAGCAACGCCGCGUGAGUGAAGAAGGUCUUCGGAUCGUAAAGCUCUGUUGUUAGAGAAGAACAGCGCAUAGAGUAACUGCUAUGCGUGUGACGGUAUCUAACCAGAAAGCCACGGCUAACUACGUG
rnacentral:rRNA from 1 species